rnacentral:rRNA from 1 species
AACGAACGCUGGCGGCAGGCUUAACACAUGCAAGUCGAACGCAUCCUUCGGGGUGAGUGGCAGACGGGUGAGUAACGCGUGGGAACGUGCCCUUCAGUUCGGGAUAACCCAGGGCAACUUGGGCUAAUACCGGAUACGUGCGAGAGCAGAAAGAUUUAUCGCUGAAGGAUCGGCCCGCGUCUGAUUAGCUAGUUGGUGGAGUAAUGGCCCACCAAGGCGACGAUCAGUAGUUGGUCUGAGAGGAUGAUCAGCCACAUUGGGACUGAGACACGGCCCAAACUCCUACGGUAGGCAGCAGUGGGGAAUAUUGGACAAUGGGCGCAAGCCUGAUCCAGCCAUGCCGCGUGAGUGAUGAAGGCCUUAGGGUUGUAAAGCUCUUUCGUCCGGGACGAUAAUGACGGUACCGGAAGAAGAAGCCCCGGCUAACUUCGUGCCAGCAGCCGCCGCAG